rnacentral:rRNA from 1 species
UACAGAGACUGCAAGCGUUAUUCGGAUUCACUGGGCGUAAAGGGUGCGCAGGCGGCCGUGUGUGUCAGGUGUGAAAGCCCGGAGCUUAACUCCGGAAUUGCGCCUGAAACUACAUGGCUAGAGCAUUGGAGAGGGAAGUGGAAUUCCCGGUGUAGCGGUGAAAUGCGUAGAGAUCGGGAGGAACACCAGAGGCGAAGGCGGCUAGCUGGACAGUAACUGACACUCAACUACGAAAGCGUGGGGAGCAAACAGG